rnacentral:rRNA from 1 species
AAAACAUGUCUUUUUGAUAAAAAUUAAAGUCAGGUCUGCUCACUGAAUAAUUUUAAAGAGCCGCAGUAUACUGACUGUGCAAAGGUAGCAUAAUCAAUAGUUUUUUAAUUGAAAACUGGAAUGAAAGAUUAGACGAAAAAUUAAUUUUCUUUAUUUUAAUAAAUUUAAUUUUAAAUUUAAGUGAAAAUGCUUAAAUAUAAUUAAAAGACGAGAAGACCCUAUAGAUUUUUAUUAUUGAAAUAAAUUUAUAAAUGUGAUUUAAUAAAAUAAUUUAAUUGGGGUGAUUUUAUAAUAUAAAUAACUUAAUUUCUUGAAACCAUAAAUAAUUGAAUUUUUGAUCUAAAAUUUUUAAAGAAAAGAUUAAAUUACCUUAGGGAUAACAGCGUAAUUUUAUUUAAGAGUUCGUAUCUAUAAUAAAGUUUGCGACCUCGAUGUUGAAUUAAGAUAAUAUAUUGGAGUAGAAAUUAAUAUAAUUAGUCUGUUCGACUAUUAAAUUCUUACGUGAUCUG